rnacentral:rRNA from 1 species
ACGAACGCUGGCGGCGUGCUUAACACAUGCAAGUCGAACGGAAAGGCCCUGCUUUUGUGGGGUGCUCGAGUGGCGAACGGGUGAGUAACACGUGAGUAACCUGCCCUUGACUUUGGGAUAACUUCAGGAAACUGGGGCUAAUACCGGAUAGGAGCUCCUGCUGCAUGGUGGGGGUUGGAAAGUUUCGGCGGUUGGGGAUGGACUCGCGGCUUAUCAGCUUGUUGGUGGGGUAGUGGCUUACCAAGGCUUUGACGGGUAGCCGGCCUGAGAGGGUGACCGGCCACAUUGGGACUGAGAUACGGCCCAGACUCCUACGGGAGGCAGCAGUGGGGAAUAUUGCACAAUGGGCGGAAGCCUGAUGCAGCAACGCCGCGUGCGGGAGGACGGCCUUCGGGUGGUAAACCGCUUUCGCCUGUGACGAAGCGUGAGUGACGGGAAUGGGUAAAGAAGCACCGGCUAACUACGU